GGAAACGUAUGAGAGGGAGAGAGGAAGAAGAGAAGAGAAAGGGAGGGAGUUAGACUUGGAUCUAGGAGUCUUUGCGACCGUUGCGAGCUCGGCUACACGAUAGGUCCAGGCGAAGGAUCCAGUGGUGGACGGGGAAAAGAGCAAAGCUAGGGGUUUGCUUGUGAUUUGUAAAGAACUGCAACCCCUUUCUUUUGAGCAAAUAUAUUGUAAUGUAUUUAAGAUUAGGGUGCCAGUAGGAUAUGAUUAUGUGUGUGUGUGUGAAUAUGUGUGGAUUGUGUGCUUGUGUAUGAAUUUUUGUCUGUUUGCAGACUUGUGGCUAGGAAACUUGGUUAUGGUGUGUGGUUUUGAUGGAUUUACUUAGUACACCAAGUUUCUAUUACAAGCAGAUCUUUAUUUUGAUAUAUAUGUGAUUUUAUAAGCAAAUGCAAAGUGGUUGCAUUGCAAAUGGUGUGCUAUGGGAAAACAUACAGCUUGGAUAGAGAGAGUGGGUGCGUGGGCCCCACAAGGAGCUCUGAGCCAAGUGAAAAUGUUUAGCAUAUAUAUUUAUAUAAAUACAUGAUAUUUGGAUUGA